rnacentral:rRNA from 1 species
UACGUAGGGGGCAAGCGUUGUCCGGAAUCAUUGGGCGUAAAGCGCGUGUAGGCGGCUCGGUAAGUCUGCUGUGAAAGUCCAGGGCUCAACCCUGGGAUGCCGGUGGAUACUGUCGAGCUCGAGUCCGGAAGAGGCGAGUGGAAUUCCUGGUGUAGCGGUGAAAUGCGCAGAUAUCAGGAGGAACACCAAUGGCGAAGGCAGCUCGCUGGGACGUGACUGACGCUGAGGUGCGAAAGCGUGGGGAGCAAACAGG